AUUUCGGGUCAAACACGAACCCUACCGGUUAACCCGUAUUGACGUCCCCGCCAAUAGUUCUCGCUCGCACUGCAGUGGUGGCGAACACACAGGGCUCGCCGCGGGCUGGAAAUGUAAAGAGAGCUGGAGAGUGAGGGCAAGACGGUGAGCGAGAGAGAAAGGGAGAUCGGAAACCGGUGGCAGCGGCGUCACACUGGAUUUGGAUCUUGACGGCUGACACCUCCUUUGACGCUUCUUUAUCUAUAUAAGGAUUUGAGGUCAGCUGUUUCAUACGAAGAAAGAUGGGUAUCAUUGAGAAAAUCAAGGAAAUUGAAGACGAAAUGGCUCGAACGCAAAAAAAUAAAGCUACAGAGUAUCAUCUUGGACAACUGAAGGCGAAGAUAGCGAAACUAAGAACUCAAUUAUUGGAGCCUCCUAAGGGUUCAAGUGGAACCGGAGAAGGUUUUGAAGUCACGAAAUUCGGCCAUGGUUGUGUCGCGCUAAUAGGAUUUCCCAGGGGAAUUUACAAUUAUUAGACUCAUUUAUGCUAUUGAUGGUGAUAACUAUGACAACGUGGAAGGAGGCAAAGAUACAAAAGGUUGAUAGGAAGAUAAAUAUGAUUUAUGGUGGUGGGAGUAUAGGUCUCAUGGGUUUGAUUUCUCAAACUAUCGUUGAUGGUGGCUGUCAUGUCUUAGGGUGUUAACUUUCACCAUGUCUUAUCUUUUUUAUUCUAUUUAUUUCAUGUUUCAUCAAACUAACCAAUAUUUUCAUUUAUUUGUAUAAAGAAUUAUACCAAGAGCCUUACUACCUCACGUGGUAAAGAGCUAUCACGAUUUUAAAAAAGCUUCUUCUUACACAAAGAGUUACAGAAAAAAAAAAAAAAAAAUUUUUUUUGUAGAUUUUAGGAGAAACUAUUGGAGUAGUUAAGAGUUAAGACAGUUGCAGACAUGCAUGAGAGGAAGUCAGAAAUGGCUAAACAUGAUGAUGCUUUCAUUGCCCUUCCCGAUGAGGAAAAAUGGAAACUCGUUAUUUUUUUUUAAAUUAAUUUAAAGUAUUUCAUUUUUAAACUUUAGGUGGAUAUGGGACAAUGGAGGAGCUGUUAAAAAUGACAGGUUGGUCACAUAUAGGAAUACAUGAAAAGCCUGUAAGAAUGCAGCAGGUUGGUCGGGCCUAGAGACGUGGAUGAAUUUUCGAUAAGCUUGCGUUUGAAGGAUGAACUGAUAACGCAAGUUGAAGCUGAUGGCUCUUGUGAAGGGAUAGCCCAAGAAUUUAUUCUAGCUGCUGAAGGGAGGAAGGUGUUAAUAUUUGAGCAGGGAAAAGCCUGAUGAGGGAAACAGGGCUUGGUACUUAUUCAUGUGGAGCAGGUCGUGAAGAAGAGAGGUCGAUAAUGAAAAAGUAAAUGCCAAAGAGAAGUUUGUUGUGUCCGGCGAAGCCGAUCGACUUGGCACUCAGUAGUGAUCAUCCAGGGACAAAACAACAAUGUCGAAGAAGAAACAAGAUAAUGCGGACAUAUAAAAGCAACAGAGAUUACUAAAUUGGAAAACCUAGAAAACUUUGAAGCAGAAUUUAGGCCUUAAAAUGGAAGAAAAAACUUUCAUUUUUUAAGAGAAGGAAUCGUGGAGUAAGGGGGCGUCGGUGAGCGGUCGAGGCAAGUAAAAAAAACUAGGAAGAAGGUUAAGAGAAACUCACCUUGGGAUGUUUGCUAUCCAACGAGCAAAACAUUUGCGUGACUAGACAUCUCCUUGCAAGCACAAGAAAUUUUAUACAAAGGAAAUGCGUCAUUCCGUGCAGGGAUGCGUUGAUAGGAAGAAGAAAUAAGGAAUCCGCCAUUUCGCGAGCAGAUAAAGACUCAUUGUUAUGACGAAGAAGGUAUAGGAAUAUUAACAAUGGAUUAAGUUAAGAUUUUUUAACCAACGAUCACAAUGAUGUAUCGGGAGAUUCAAAAGCGACAUUUUAAUAGUAGUAUAUAGAUAAAAGGACAAGGAAUUUGUUUAUCUUAAUAUUGAGGAAACCAACAGCCUACUCGUAAUGGUUUCAAUUCCCGGUUCGUCUUAUAGUUUGUCAAAUCCAUUAAAAAUUUAAUAAAUAAAUAACAAUAGAAAACUUCCGAUUAAGCUUCUAUCAUCUUCUGUGAAAGAAUUGGAGCCCGAUUUGUGUACGAAAGCUCACUUUGUUUUCUCCGAUGAUAUUAAGUGGCAUAUUAAACAGUUUUCUUUUUUGUCUUCAUAUUAAAGCAGCUUUUUAGUACAAAAAGAUGCUUCAAGAAAUAGUAAGAAAAUUAUCCCAAAUG